UUUUAAACGUAAUUUUUAUUUCUUGGUGAUUAAUAGUUUAGUUCUUUAAAAUCAAAGAUUUUGGCGGUAUCGUAGUCUAUUCAGAGGAACCUGUCCUAUAAUUGAUGGUCCACGUUUAAUUAAACUAAUAUUGUAAAUUUGUAUAUCGUUGUAGUUUGAAUAUUUUAUAAGAAAUUUAAUGUUCAUUAUUUUAGAUAAAAAAAUAAAUCAGAUCAAGGUGCAGUUAAUAUAUUGGGAGAGAUGGGUUACAUUAAAUUUAUUUAUGGAUAAUAUUUUGAAAAAAUAUAUAAAAUUGGAUUUGGAAGUAAUUAUAUACAUAUAUUUAAAAUGACUGUAGCUCUAUGAUAUG
rnacentral:rRNA from 1 species